GGCCGCGGGAAUUCGAUUGAGUUUGAUCAUGGCUCAGGAUGAACGCUAGCGGCAGGCCUAACACAUGCAAGUCGAGGGGUAGAACACUUCGGUGUUUGAGACCGGCGCACGGGUGCGUAACGCGUAUGCAAUCUACCUUGUACAGGGGAAUAGCCCAGAGAAAUUUGGAUUAAUGCCCCAUAGUAUAUAACCUUCGUAUGUUGGUUAUAUUAAAGUUCCAACGGUACAAGAUGAGCAUGCGUCCCAUUAGUUAGUUGGUAAGGUAACGGCUUACCAAGACGAUGAUGGGUAGGGGUCCUGAGAGGGAGAUCCCCCACACUGGUACUGAGACACGGACCAGACUCCUACGGGAGGCAGCAGUGAGGAAUAUUGGUCAAUGGUCGCAAGACUGAACCAGCCAUGCCGCGUGCAGGAAGACGGUCCUAUGGAUUGUAAACUGCUUUUAUACAGGAAGAAACCCUCCCACGUGUGGGAGCUUGACGGUACUGUAGGAAUAAGGAUCGGCUAACUCCGUGCCAGCAGCCGCGGUAAUACGGAGGAUCCAAGCGUUAUCCGGAAUCAUUGGGUUUAAAGGGUCCGUAGGCGGUCUUAUAAGUCAGUGGUGAAAGCCCAUCGCUCAACGAUGGAACUGCCAUUGAUACUGUAAGACUUGAAUGCUUAGGAAGUAACUAG
rnacentral:rRNA from 1 species